ACAAGAAAAAGCAGUAUUUCGCGGAUUCUUGCCAUCCCUGCAAAACAAAUUGAGCUGUA
rnacentral:tRNA from 1 species